rnacentral:rRNA from 1 species
CGCCUGAAUUUAUGAGAGUUU